rnacentral:tRNA from 1 species
GCGGAUGUAGUUCAAUGGUAGAACAUCAGCUUCCCAAGCUGGCGAUGCGGGUUCGAUUCCCGUCAUCCGCUCCA